rnacentral:rRNA from 1 species
UAGGGAAUCUUCCACAAUGGACGCAAGUCUGAUGGAGCAACGCCGCGUGAGUGAAGAAGGGUUUCGGCCCGUAAAGCUCUGUUGUUAAAGAAGAACGUGGGUAAGAGUAACUGUUUACCCAGUGACGGUAUUUAACCAGAAAGCCACGGCUAACUACGUGCCAG